GAGUUCAAUCGCAUAGUCUAAUGUUACCAAUGUUUGCAAGAUCAUGUUCGGAUUGGAGACUUUAAUUGGUUCUCCAAUGUAGAGUCCAAGUGACUAGAGUCCAAGGAGUGUUCGAGUUGGAGUCCAAUGCAGCCAAGAUGAUGUUUCUUUGGCUACAGGUACUUCGGUAUAGUCGAUGGGUCGUUAGCAGUGUGCUUGGGAUAUUAUGACUGAAGCUCACCGCGACGGUUGUAAUUGUCGGACCACGGGUUGUCCACUAUUUUAUAGGUUUGGUAUGGCUUGUGACGUUUGUGUCACUUAUUCUUUGUUAAGCCAUUAUUGUUAUAGUGUUAAUAAGACUCAAACAGAUAGAUGUUAAAUGGCUCUUUGUUGUAAUUAAUUUGUGAUAGAUGUAUAAGUUGUAAUUUCCGCUA